rnacentral:rRNA from 1 species
GAUGAACGCUAGCGGCAGGCUUAACACAUGCAAGUCGAGGGGUAUAUGUCUUCGGAUAUAGAGACCGGCGCACGGGUGCGUAACGCGUAUGCAAUCUACCUUUUACAGAGGGAUAGCCCAGAGAAAUUUUGGAUUAAUACCUCAUAGCAUAGCAGCUUCGCAUGAAGCAGCUAUUAAAGUCACAACGGUAAAAGAUGAGCAUGCGUCCCAUUAGCUAGUUGGUAAGGUAACGGCUUACCAAGGCUACGAUGGGUAGGGGUCCUGAGAGGGAGAUCCCCCACACUGGUACUGAGACACGGACCAGACUCCUACGGGAGCAGCAGUGAGGAAUAUUGGACAAUGGGCGCAAGCCU